GGCUUUGUCUGGAGCCAAUCAGGACACUGAGCUGCUGAUGACAAAUGGAUCCUUUCUGGUCCCCACGCUCCCUCCUCCAUGGAAGGCGGCAGGGUUGGGGAGGGGGAGGACUGGAGUAGUGUUUCAGGUGAGCCGGCCCGAACGUAUGAAAUGUACGUUUGCUUCGUGCCUUCAGUGUGGCCUAGAGGAGCCGUCCACCAAGAGGCGUGAAAAGUGUAAGCGUUAUUUGCUCAGUCGUGUCCGACUCUUUGUGACCCCAUGGACUGUAGCACACCAGUCUCCUCUGUCCAUGGAAUUCUUCAGGUGGAAGCUUACUUAUACCCUGUGUCCCAAGAAAUGACCCUCACCCCUUGGCCACAUUUCUCCUGGGAAACCGGAGACAAAGGUCUUCUCCUUGAACCAGCAGCUGCAGACUGUGGAGGGCCUUUGGGGCCCUGACUCCUGCCCUGGGUCACCACCACCCUGGCUGAAGGUGGGAUGAGAGCAAAGAAAAGCUGAAAUAUCCUGGUCCUACUCCUCAAACCUGCCACUUUUGACCCUCUCUGAUUUUGGUUCCACAUCAAAACUCUUUAUUUCCUUAGAAAGGAUACAUAUUGUGAAGCUUAAAAAAAACCUGAAUUGUGUGCAAAUGGCAUAUUGUGCUGUUUUACUCAGCGUAAGUGAGACGUCAUAGCUUUUAGGAUCAGGCUUUAUCAAAAUUUCAGAAGAAUGCUCUACAACGUGGAUAUUUAAUGUAAAACUAGGUUUUUAGCACCUGACACAACCAUGAACAGCUUCAUCGUGGCCAUUACUAAACAGACAUUAAAGUAUUCAUGUAAAUUCUAUUUGAAUAACUUUCAUGCCUUGUAAAAUCUGAAGAACCUUUGAAAUUGAUGUGAGAAUGUUUAAAGAAAUAAAUUUGCUUUUAAGACCAGCUUUAUCAGAAUCCAUGAAGGUUAUA